UCACCGACUUAAUACGUUUACAUGCUCUGCUCUGGCUCAGAAUAUACCAGAAUAUGAAAAUGAAAAUUUAUCAAUUUAAGGCAUCAUCCAACUCAUAAAACCGCAUGAGUAUCCACAUAGCAUCACCAAACUUCAUAAGGACCAUAACAAGUCCAGAAAACCAUCUUAUGAUCAACGUCACUUAUAAUAUUCAAUUGGUAGUAACCAGAUCUCAAUUCAAUCUUUGAAUCUUCGCAAUUACUUAUGAGCUGGUUAAAUAAACAUCAGUACAUCACCAUGGAUAACAGUUCUCAAUCGUUACCCGACUCCAUUGUCUAUAAUCAAUGAACAGUCUCAAGAUCCAUUUUCUUCCUCACCAACAAACUGGGGCUCCUCAAAAGUGUUGUACUAGGUUGAAUGAAGCUUUUAUCAACCAAUUCUUUCAACUGAAUUUCCAAUUCCCUUAACUCAUCCUAAACCAAUCUUUAACAUAAAUUUAUACCUGACAACAAUUCAAUAAUGAACCUCAUAUCUCUGCCUGAAGACAAUCCAGGUAUACUUUCAAGGAAGACAUCAAGAAAGUCUAACCCCUUUUGACAUUAUUCACACUACUCCAAACAACAUCAUUUAGCACCACAUGAGCUAAUAAUUUUUUUGACAGCCUUUCGAAAACAAUCUCUUUGCUCUCACAGCAAAUAACGGCCUGACUCAAUCCACUUUGCAUACUUACAAAAGUAAUCUCUGGUCAUCCAGAUCGAUGGAAAGUACUGGUUUCCCGUAACAUUCCGUCUUGUCACAAUUAUAACCAACCAAUCUAAUGGAACAGAAUUAACUGACACAAUACAUACUUUAUUAUUACUGAACAUUCUGAAUAAGUACAAUACUAACAUAAAAUAAUCUACCGGGUUGCUUGCUUAACGAAUCCACAAAUGAGUUAUUAAUAUUACGGUCUGCAGCCCGCAAUACUGAUAAAUCAUCGUUGUCUCGAUAAGUAGGCAACCACUCUCAAAGAUAUAACAUUACUAUUUUGUUACUCAAUGCAAAAUACAUACACUCGUCUCAACUACAUUUAUUUACUACUCUCUAGGUAACAACAUACAUAAUAAGAAAUAUAUCAGCCGAAGUCAACUAGAAUGACCAAUACGGCUGAUUCAACUCUUAUCUCAAUAAUACGUCGGCCGGAUCCACUCCGCGUGGUCGGUACGGCCGAACCUAUAACUCACCAAUUUCUCAUGUGUCAGUCGAAUCCAUUUCUCAUGGUCUGUACGGCUGAACAUAUAACUCAUCAAAUCUCUCUGUACUCACGGUCAAUCCGACCAAACUACUAAGUCCAUAACUCUGCUGAAUCGACACUAUGAUAUCAUGGAAAAUUGUUGAGUACAACUGAUUCUAGGGACAAUUCACAAUUCUGCGUCCCCUCUGUUCACAUAAACACAUUCAUUAAUUUCACACUUCCCAAAGUGUUAAUUUUUGUACCUGCUGCACAAGGUACAUUUCCUUUACUCGAGACACCUUGUCUCAAAUAUCUGGAUGGAACGAGGCAAGUCUGAAAACUUUCUAUAAUAUUCAUUUAUCGUCAACUUCCUUGAUUCACAUUUGCAAACUCUUGCUUACUACCAUCGAUAAAUGCCGGAGGGAUAAACUUUUCCUUAAACAAGUCCUUAAAUAAUUCUCAAUCAGCUGUUUCCUCCGGUGACAACAAUUCAUCGAUUCCUUUAGUGAUCAAAUCGAUCUGAUGUGUCUAAGACUUAUCUUGUCUUCCUUUCCAAAUCUUGCUAUUUCUUUUCAUGGUGAAAUUUCCAAAAAUAUAAAAUCAUCUACGUUAUACACUCGAUUAGUGGUAUAUUCAUCUGUUGAUGUCUUUUGUCAUUCCUGGUUACUUUUAGGUUAACUUAAUCACCUGAAUACUUUGAGGAGACUCAUCCAUAGUCUCAGGGUCUACUAAAACUCUUUCUUGAUCGAAUCUUUCUCUACCCAGAAAUAUUCCAUUCACAAGUCAACAAAACACCCCAUGACACACUUCAUGAACCUUAUGGCUUCACUUCGGAAACUGCGCAACCAACAUACUUAAGAAACUUAGCAGUUCCGUAAACCAAUUCUUCUUUCUAUAAAACAAAUAAGUACCGUUACUCAACCCUGGAGUAAAUGUACUAACUUGGUACAUUGAGCAACUAUCGCUUCAAAUUCAAUCAUAACCAUCCUAUGUAUCAUGAAACUUGUACACAUAAUCCAAAGUAAUAUUUUUCCAUUUCCACUGCGAAACAGAAAAUAACCGUCUCAAUCCAAAGGUUUACUUCUUUCUACUUCAAUCUGUUGACCAAUAAAAACGUCAAAUGGUAUACUAGAUCUCAAUACUUUUGGAAUAUUGCAGAAGUUGUACAGUGUACUUCGUCCAAAAUUGCUUGCUUUAAAUCCUCAGCAUUCGGUACAUACUUCUUGUUUUCUUGUAUCCACAUACCAUUUGAUUCACGAAUCAUGUACUCAUUCUUUUUCCCUUCUUUCUCUGCCUUGGUUAAUUCUUAAAUUUCCUCGUCAAACAUUUAAAUUUCGAGUACGACCUUACCAAACAGGCCUAACUUGAAAAUUAACAAGUAUAACUUCUUCUCGAUCUUUCAUUCUUAACUUUACUUUAAUUGAUUUUCAAUCCACGAGAAGAUAAUCUUGGCAAGCGUGCCUGACAUUAAUCUUACUGCAAUCUUUUCACCAAGUGUAUCAGCUACAACAUUUCACGAUCACCCUGAUCGUACAAUCAUAAUCACUAAGUAAUUCAAUCCACCUUUGUUGCCUCAUAUCAAAAUCCUUCCGAGUAAACAAAUAUUGGAGACUCUUUUGAUUUGUAAAAUCUUGCAUUCUUAUCAACAUAUAAUGCCUUCAUAACUUCACAGCAAGAAUGGUAAUCAUGACUUCUAAGUCACCCGUAGGGUAAUUCAUUUCAUGAGGUUCCAUUUAUCGUGAAAUGUAUGCAAUCACCCUAACAUUUGCAUCAACAUGCCUCUAAUACCAUUCAAGAAACAUCACUAAAAAUUUAUGAUUACCACUAUUCUCGGGGAUUACUAAAAUACGUGCAUGAGUGAGGAAAUACUUCAGUUGUUGAAUCCUUUGCUCACAAUUUCCUUCCCACUCAUACAUAACCUCUUUUCUCAACAGUCUCGUCAAUGACAAAGCAAUGACUAAAAACUCUUUCACAACCAUCCAAGAUAGCCUGGUAAGUUAAGAAAUUCCAAAUCUCAAUUACGACUCGUGGUUGUUCCAAAUUCUCAAUUUCUGCUAUCUUUUAAGGAUUCACUUGAAUACCUUAAGAAUAUAUAACAAAUCUCAGAAUGCCACCUGAUUCAUCUAACUUUAGCAUUUGCUACUUAGCAUACAACCAACGUUCUCUCAAUCUUUGCUUCACCGACUUAAUACGUUUACAUGCUCUGCUCUGGCUCAGAAUAUACCAGAAUAUCUUCAAUGAAAAUGAUAUCAAUUUAUCAAGGCAUUAUUGGAAUACUUCAUCCAUCAACUCAUAAAACCGCAUGAGUAUCCACAUAGCAUCACCAAACUUCAUAAGGACCAUAACAAGUCCAGAAAACCAUCUUAUGAUCAACGUCACUUAUAAUAUUCAAUUGGUAGUAACCAGAUCUCAAUUCAAUCUUUGAAUCUUCGCAAUUACUUAUGAGCUGGUUAAAUAAACAUCAGUACAUCACCAUGGAUAACAGUUCUCAAUCGUUACCCGACUCCAUUGUCUAUAAUCAAUGAACAGUCUCAAGAUCCAUUUUCUUCCUCACCAACAAACUGGGGCUCCUCAAAAGUGUUGUACUAGGUUGAAUGAAGCUUUUAUCAACCAAUUCUUUCAACUGAAUUUCCAAUUCCCUUAACUCAUCCUAAACCAAUCUUUAACAUAAAUUUAUACCUGACACAAUUCAAUAAUGAACCUCAUAUCUCUGCCUGAAGACAAUCCAGGUAUACUUUCAAGGAAGACAUCAAGAAAGUCUAACCCCUUUUGACAUUAUUCACACUACUCCAAACAACAUCAUUUAGCACCACAUGAGCUAAUAAUUUUUUUGACAGCCUUUCGAAAACAAUCUCUUUGCUCUCACAGCAUAAAUAACGGCCUGACUCAAUCCACUUUGCAUACUUACAAAAGUAAUCUCUGGUCUGGUCAUCUCUGGUCAUCCAGAUCGAUGGAAAGUACUGGUUUUCCCGUAACAUUCCGUCUUGUCACAAUUAUAACCAACCAAUCUAAUGGAACAGAAUUAACUGACACAUAUACAUACUUUAUUAUUACUGAACAUUCUGAAUAAGUACAAUACUAACAUAAAAUAUAAUCUACCGGGUUGCUUGCUUAACGAAUCCACAAAUGAGUUAUUAAUAUAUUACGGUCUGCAGCCCGCAAUACUGAUAAAUCAUCGUUGUCUCGAUAAGUAGGCAACCACUCUCAAAGAUAUAACAUUACUAUUUUGUUACUCAAUGCAAAAUACAUACACUCGUCUCAACUACAUUUAUUUACUACUCUCUAGGUAACAACAUACAUAAUAAGAAAUAUAUCAGCCGAAGUCAACUAGAAUGACCAAUACGGCUGAUUCAACUCUUAUCUCAAUAAUACGUCUGCCGGAUCCACUCCGCGUGGUCGGUACGGCCGAACCUAUAACUCACCAAUUUCUCAUGUGUCAGUCGAAUCCAUUUCUCAUGGUCUGUACGGCUGAACAUAUAACUCAUCAAAUCUCUCUGUACUCACGGUCAAUCCGACCAAACUACUAAGUCCAUAACUCUGCUGAAUCGACACUAUGAUAUCAUGGAAAAUUGUUGAGUACAACUGAUUCUAGGGACAAUUCACAAUUCUGCGUCCCCUCUGUUCACAUAAACACAUUCAUUAAUUUCACACUUCCCAAAGUGUUAAUUUUUGUACCUGCUGCACAAGGUACAUUUCCUUUACUCGAGACACCUUGUCUCAAAUAUCUGGAUGGAACGAGGCAAGUCUGAAAAACUUUCUAUAAUAUUCAUUUAUCGUCAAACUUCCUUGAUUCACAUUUGCAAACUCUUGCUUACUACCAUCGAUAAAUGCCGGAGGGAUAAACUUUUCCUUAAACAAGUCCUUAAAUAAUUCUCAAUCAGCUGUUUCCUCCGGUGACAACAAUUAACAAUCCUGUUUCCACCAGGAUACAAAUUCAUACCCAAAACCAGGUAGUCGUCUCGACCCCUUGUCAGAAGGAAAUUUCCUUUGACUUGCAUAACCUGAAACAUCUUUUCCAAAUGGUUAAACCGUUACUUCGCUCCCUCAGGUUCAUCAUUUCAUAAGGUGAUUCAAAUUCGACUCAUAAUCCGUCUUAAAAUGUCCCUUUUUAUAAUAGACUGAAUCACCAUAAUAAUAGUUUUCCCUAAACCGAUAUAUUAGGGAGACUAAAUUCCUCCAACUAAGUGGCUUACUACGAGGCGGUGUAGUUCUGACAGAAUUCACUAGAACUUCUCAAGAUGUCCAAGAUUGCAACCAUGCUCUGAUACCAACUGACACACCCCGUCCCGAAGGAGGGCAUGCUGGCCGUCACGUGAUAGUGACGUAACCAUUUACACAGUACGGAAGCUUUAAGAUACAAUUUAUAAGUUGAUACACCCGAAGGUGAGUCCUACUUUUGUCCAAUCUGUCAGAACACCGUCGAAUUCCUCGUAGUCACCACACCUUUGUGAUUCCUGAACCUGGAGGGGCGCAAAACCAAAAAUUGAGUGGGUCAGUAAAACAAUUCUUUUCCAAAUCCAAACAUUUCUCAAAAACGUUGUAACCCCUCUCCCGUAAAACCUGUAUACUUUCCCAGAAAUGUAAAAUAUAAAUAUACAUAUAUAUUCUCAAUACUUCAAUUCAUUAACUCAACAUUUUUUUCUUUAUCAAUCAUGCCAUGCCAUGUCUAAUUCAACAGUUAAGUAUGGAUGCAUCAACAAUAAUCAUAUCAGGUGCAAGAAAGUAAUCAACCGGAGGCCCUCUAAUAGCCCUGUACGGUUGAACCUAGAGCUCAAAAUCUAUCACUCUCACUCUGCCGGAGUCACCAACUGUGACCUGUACGGCCUAUUGCCGGAGUCACUAGCUGUAACCUGUACGGCCUUCUGCACAUAAGUCGGAACCACCUAAUGUAGUAUGUACGACUUAAUGGUUAAUAUUACGCUCUAGUGCUUUCUCAUCAAUCAUCUGUGCACAUAAUCUAAGGUCACCCACCAGUCGAAAUCUCACUAACACUCUUCGACUGGCCCGUCGCACCCACUCCGCGUGGACUGUGCGACCAGCAUCUACUUGGAUCCAAGGCGAGCGUGCGAUGCGGUGAAUACUAUAAGCACUAAACCAUGGUGCAGGAUUUGAGCUCAAUAUACAUCAACAUCAUCAUAACAGUAAUUAAAUACUCACCUGAUACUCACCUGUGCGUCCGCCGCACCAUUCAUUCAUAUGCAUCAUAUAACAAUUCAUAUC
rnacentral:lncRNA from 1 species